UACGUAGGGGGCGAGCGUUGUCCGGACUUAUUGGGCGUAAAGAGCGUGUAGGCGGCCAGGUAGGUCCGUUGUGAAAACUCGAGGCUCAACCUCGAGACGUCGAUGGAAACCAUCUGGCUAGAGUCCGGAAGAGGAGAGUGGAAUUCCUGGUGUAGCGGUGAAAUGCGCAGAUAUCAGGAAGAACACCUAUGGCGAAGGCAGCUCUCUGGGACGGUACUGACGCUGAGACGCGAAAGCGUGGGGAGCAAACAGG
rnacentral:rRNA from 1 species